rnacentral:sRNA from 16 species
CUAUAGCCAGGACAGCUCUCGGGAUAGCCUGGACGUCGAUAGCCGGAUAGUGCAACGUACGAAAUCUACGCUGGCAGCC